GGCGACAUGACCGAGUGGCCAGGUAGAGGUCUGCAAAACCUUUUACGGCGGUUCGAAUCCGCCUGUCGCCU
rnacentral:tRNA from 1 species